rnacentral:rRNA from 1 species
GACGAACGCUGGCGGCGUGCUUAACACAUGCAAGUCGAACGGAAAGGCCCUGCUUUUGUGGGGUGCUCGAGUGGCGAACGGGUGAGUAACACGUGAGUAACCUGCCCUUGACUUUGGGAUAACUUCAGGAAACUGGGGCUAAUACCGGAUAGGAGCUCCUGCUGCAUGGUGGGGGUUGGAAAGUUUCGGCGGUUGGGGAUGGACUCGCGGCUUAUCAGCUUGUUGGUGGGGUAGUGGCUUACCAAGGCUUUGACGGGUAGCCGGCCUGAGAGGGUGACCGGCCACAGUGGGACUGAGAUCCGGCGCGGAGUACUACGGGAGGCAGCAGGGGGGAAGCGUGCACAGUGGGCGGGAGCCUGAUGCCGCUACGGCGGGUGGGGGAUGAGGGGCUACGGGUUGUAAACCGCAUUCGCCUGUGACGAAGCGUGAGUGACGGUAAGGGGUAAAGAAGCAACGGCUAACUACGUG